rnacentral:snRNA from 1 species
GAUCUGGCUGCGACAUCUGUCACCCCAUUGAUCGCCAGGGAUGAUUCGGCUGAUCUGGCUGGCUAGGCAGUAGGCUUGCUC